rnacentral:rRNA from 1 species
GAUGAACGCUGGCGGCGUGCCUAACACAUGCAAGUCGAACGGAAAGGCCCUGCUCUUGUGGGGCUCACGUGUGGCGCACGGGUGAGUAUCACGUGAGUAUCCUGCCCUUGUCUUUGGGAUAACUUCAGGAAACUGCGGCUCUAAUCGGAUAGGAGCUCCUGCUGCAUGGUGGGGGAUGGAAAAUUUCGGCGGUUGGGGAUGGUCUCGCGGCUUAUCAGCUUGUUGGUGGGGUAGUUGCUUACCAAGGCUUUGACGGGUAGCCGGCCUGAGAGGGUGACCGGCGACAAUGGGACUAAGAUACGGACCAGACGGCUACGUGAGGCAGCAGGGGGGAAUCUUACACAAUGAGGGGGAGUCUGAGGCAGAGACGCCGCGUGCGGGAUGACGGCCUUCGGGUUAUAAACCGCUUUCGCCUGAGACGUGGCGUGAGUGACGGUAAUGGGUAAAGAAGCACCGGCUAACUACGUG